rnacentral:rRNA from 1 species
CCUACGGGAGGCAGCAGUGGGGAAUAUUGGACAAUGGGCGCAAGCCUGAUCCAGCAAUUCCGCGUGGGUGAAGAAGGUCUUCGGAUUGUAAAGCCCUUUCGACAGGGACGAUGAUGACGGUACCUGUAGAAGAAGCCCCGGCUAACUUCGUGCCAGCAGCCGCGGUAAUACGAAGGGGGCUAGCGUUGCUCGGAAUUACUGGGCGUAAAGGGCGCGUAGGCGGCGGUGUUAGUCAGGCGUGAAAUUCCUGGGCUCAACCUGGGGACUGCGCUUGAUACGGCAUUGCUUGAGGAUGGAAGAGGCUCGCGGAAUUCCCAGUGUAGAGGUGAAAUUCGUAGAUAUUGGGAAGAACACCGGUGGCGAAGGCGGCGAGCUGGUCCAUUACUGACGCUGAGGCGCGACAGCGUGGGGAGCAAACAGGAUUAGAUACCCUAGUAGUC